AACGCGCAGAACUUUACUUACCCGUGAUAUGCCAGGUCUGGUGGCAAGAGAUUGCUUGGUUGAUUCGUUCGCCGGUGCACACGUGUUUCAUGUCAGUCGUCAGCUUGUGUCGUGAGAUGUUGGGUUAAGUCCCGCAACGAGCGCAACCGUCAUCCUUAGUUGCCAUCAGGUUUGGCCGGGCACUCUAAGGAAACUGCGGGUGGCAAGCCGGAGGAAGGUGGGGAUGACGUCAAGUCCUCAUGGCCCUUACGGGUAGGGCUACACACGUGCUACAAUGGCAGUGACAAUGGGAUAAUCCCCAAAAACUGUCUCAGUUCGGAUUGUGGUCUGCAACUAGACGGCAUGAAGUUGGAAUCGAUAGUAAUGGUGGAUCAGCAUGCCAGGGUGAAUACGUUCCCGGGCCACGUACACACCGCCCGUCACAUCAUGGGAGUUGGUUCUACCCCAAGACCGUGCACCAACUUUGGAGGCACCGGUCCACGCUAGGAUCAGCGACUGGGACGAAGUCGUAACAAGGUAACCAAGGGCGAA
rnacentral:rRNA from 1 species